CAAAAUUUCGAUUAAAAUAAAUUAAAUAUUUUUUAAAUACAUACCGGGAGCAGAAGCUCAAGCCUCUUAAAAUAUUAUAAAAAAUACGAUUACAAACAAUCUCAGGUCCUCAAUAAAAUAUAAGAACAGACAUAUCAGAGUGACUCCGAAAUUAGUGGCGUAUCAAAUAGAUAACAAUUAGAUGUAAGAGAAUCCGUUUAUUGUUUGCAAUCCAUAAUCAAGUUACAAAAGAAAAGGAAGACAUUCGAAAAAGUUUAAAAAUCAUAAUACCCUAAGCUAUGUACUCAGUACAAAUAUUUUUAUCAGAGCUUUGGUGCUAAGUCGGAAGGGGUUAUUGAACUGGUAGAAUUUGAUAAAGAAAAUAAUUUAAAUACAAAUAUUUGGAAUCAAGUCCAAAAAAAUUAGAGAAUAUGCGAUUUCGAUUUCUUAUUUUAGAAGAAACACUCUAAUGUAUAUAUUUGAUAAUUAUUGUAA